rnacentral:rRNA from 1 species
AGUUGUAAUCUAUAGAGGCGUUUUCCGUGCCGGACCGUGUCCAAGUUCCUUGGAACAGGAUAUCAAAGAGGGUGACAAUCCCGUACUUGACACGAUGACCGGUGCUCUGUGAUACGUCUUCUACGAGUCGAGUUGUUUGGGAAUGCAGCUCAAAAUGGGUGGUGAGUUCCAUCUAAAGCUAAAUAUUGGCGAGAGACCGAUAGCGAACAAGUACCGUGAGGGAAAGAUGAAAAGCACUUUGGAAAGAGAGUUAAACAGUACGUGAAAUUGUUGAAAGGGAAACGAUUGAAGUCAGUCGUGACUGAGAGGCUCAGCCGGUUCUGCCGGUGUAUUCCCCUCAGUCGGGUCAACAUCAGUUUUGUCCGGUGGAAAAGGGCGGUAGGAACGUGGCACCUCCGGGUGUGUUAUAGCCUGCCGUCGCAUACAUCGGGUGAGACUGAGGAAUGCAGCUCGCCUUUAUGGCCGGGGUUCGCCCACGUCCGAGCUUAGGAUGUUGACA